rnacentral:rRNA from 1 species
UACGUAGGGUGCAAGCGUUGUCCGGAAUUAUUGGGCGUAAAGAGCUCGUAGGCGGUCUGUCGCGUCGGCUGUGAAAACCCGGGGCUCAACCCCGGGCCUGCAGUCGAUACGGGCAGACUAGAGUGCGGUAGGGGAGACUGGAAUUCCUGGUGUAGCGGUGAAAUGCGCAGAUAUCAGGAGGAACACCCGUGGCGAAAGCGGCUCUCUGGGACGGUACUGACGCUGAGACGCGAAAGCGUGGGGAGCAAACAGG